ACAAUUCAGUGCCUGUAACCAACUCUAAAAUGCCACCAAUUGAACAAUAUCAUGACUGGAGCUACCCAGUGUCCUUCAGAUCAACAAGUGGCUCUGUAAGUACUGCUGUCCUGGUGGGAAUUCUGAAAGGCAAAGCCAGCUCCUGUGGAUGGUGGGAGCUUGGUCAGCAAAUGACAUGGUGGUAAAGAAAAAGCUUUUGUGCUUAGGAAUUGUUCUAUGGCUGUGUUCAGUUUGAACUUCUCUCGUGUUUUUUGUGAUUUAUAUAUAUAUUUCUAAACAAAGAUAAACUGUCAGCCCUCCUAAAAGGGCUCAUACAUGCCCCUUUGGAACAAAGCAUUAAAUCCCCAAUCCAUCUGUGCUGCAGGAGACUCAGAUUUGCCAAGUACUGCUUCAAAACUCAGGCUGGUGUCACUGGUCAGUGAUGCACUUUAGAGAUGUAAAAUUUCUUGCUUCUACCUUGCAUCCUGUGGUUUUAAUCUUCUGUGGAGCUGUGCUGAACAGAGCAGCUGGCCUGUAAUUGGGGGAGAUUGCUGCAGCCAUUUAUCUCUGUGGGUGUUACUCCUGUUCUCAGCAUUAUUGCAGUUAAAAUGGUUAUCAUUUUCAUCCAUAGUGUCUUCCUAAGACAAAAAUAAGCAUGUGCCACUUACCUUUUAAGUGUUAUUGAAUCAUUUUUGAAUCAUUCCAGUAUAGAAUGACUUACUUUUUUUUAAUCUUUUUUUUUUUUUCCUGCUGAUCCGUGACCAUAGCCCAGGAGCAGUUGUGCAUUGUUAUCACUCUCACGCUAUUUAGCAGAAAGAAAGGCCUAAAUAAGCUUAAAAGUUUCUGAUGACCGUGAGUGGAGUGUCAAAAUCCUUUAACAAUCCAAAAAAAUUUCAAGUUAUUUUAUAACCGUGCAUCUAAAUUCUACAGGUUAUUCAGCUCUUGUUACACUGCCUGCUUUUCAUGCCAUGUUACUGUUUUCUUCUAACUCUGAAUGGCCCUGGGCAGGGGCCCCUUUUGUUGAGUCAGUCAUUUCCUAACUCACAAAAUUGGGAAGCCAUAGGGGAUGGUCAGAGUUCAGGUGAGUUUUGGCAGAGGGCUUGUACAAACAGAUUAGGGCAUGAAAAAUCUGAUUUCAAUCAUUAUCUUUAGAAAACAUUUCUAGUGGGACCUUAUAUGGUCCAAUAAUCAGUCUGGGUGUGAUCUGCAUCCUGCCAAGGCUAAUAAGGGUGUUUCUUUUGACUUUGGUGAACUUUAGCAUCCUCAUCCCUUAAGUGGGGCCAUUGCUGUCUUGUUUCUCUUCUCUUUCUAACAAACUGGCAAUGCCUAAUGUACAUUUAGGAAAAUCAAAACACUUGUGGCUGUGGCAGCACACAAGUAAUGCUAUUAAUGCAGGAAGAGAAACCUUCUGAAGGUCAAGUUACCACACAUCCAAACUCCAGAAAGCAUUUGUCAUGCCCUGGGAAUUGAGCUGAAAUCUGACCCAUCUUGGAGAAGAAACCACCACAGAAAGAACACAUUAGGAUAUCUCUCACUGACAUUCCCUGUGGAGCUGAUUUCCUGGAAGCAGCAUUAGGUAUGGUGUGGGUAAUGGUGUUCUGGGAGGAGGUUUGUGCUUGAAAAGCAGCAGGGAAGAGCAGGAGAUGCAGCAGAGCUCACAGAGGGAGGGAGGGCAGCUCAGGGGAAAGCUGGACCCCUCUUCAGGUGUGUCCUCAUAAAUGUCAGCACGUGGACCUCAUUCUGAAAGAUUUAAUGCCUCUGCUUUACAUUGUAAUCUACAAAUAAUAUCAGCUCCAUGAAGACUUUAAAAUAGGAAGGAAGAGGAUGAAUAAUCCUGAUGUUGCUCCCAUGUUAGAGCUCCUUGUACUGCAAACUCCACGCUGUCUCACAGAGAGAAGAAAAAUAUCCCCAGCUCCAAAGAAAAUAUCACUUCUAUUUAAUGAUUAAAACAAAUCAGUGUGAGAGAAGACAUAAGGCAGCUACUAGAAAAUUCUGGUUCAGUAUUGAAAUUCCACCCCCUCUGGCUGGGAAUAUGAGAGAAGUUAUCCCUGUGUGACAGGGAAGAGCCAAGCCUGUGCAGGCUUCAUCAGCACAGUGUGCUCUGCAUGGUCACUGCUUGAUUAUUCAAAGGUGUUUGUGGAAAAUAAGUCUAAAGUUCAGCUUUGGGGGCUGAUCAUUCUUUCUGCGCCAUUUAAGCACAUCAUCUCAUUUCUAAGUGGUGCUGAUUACAACAAUUCACGGGCAAGCACAGUCAUUUUGUGAAUGGAAGGGUGAGAGAAGUGUGACCCUGUCACAAAGCAAAGCCCACGCUGCAGUGAGCGCUGCUAACAGGGACUAAAGGCUUGGGGGGAGCCUGGUUCCAUGUGUGAUUAAAUGCAGCUCGUUGGUAUAAUGCCUUCACAUUUAAACAGCUUAAUUUUUAAAUCACCAGAUAAUUGUGUAAUUGUGGUAUUUCUGUUGCCUGUGAUGAAUCAGGGUCUCCUGUCUAAUGGUUC